rnacentral:rRNA from 1 species
UGGAAACGGGGUCUAAUACCGGAUAUGACUGUCCAUCGCAUGGUGGAUGGUGUAAAGCUCCGGCGGUGCAGGAUGAGCCCGCGGCCUAUCAGCUUGUUGGUGAGGUAGUGGCUCACCAAGGCGACGACGGGUAGCCGGCCUGAGAGGGCGACCGGCCACACUGGGACUGAGACACGGCCCAGACUCCUACGGGAGGCAGCAGUGGGGAAUAUUGCACAAUGGGCGAAAGCCUGAUGCAGCGACGCCGCGUGAGGGAUGACGGCCUUCGGGUUGUAAACCUCUUUCAGCAGGGAAGAAGCGAAAGUGACGGUACCUGCAGAAGAAGCGCCGGCUAACUACGUGCCAGCAGCCGCGGUAAUACGUAGGGCGCAAGCGUUGUCCGGAAUUAUUGGGCGUAAAGAGCUCGUAGGCGGCUUGUCACGUCGGUUGUGAAAGCCCGGGGCUUAACCCCGGGUCUGCAGUCGAUACGGGCAAGCUAGAGUUCGGUAGGGGAGAUCGGAAUUCCUGGUG